GAUCCUGGCUCAGAUUGAACGCUGGCGGCAUGCUUUACACAUGCAAGUCGAACGGCAGCACGGAGAGCUUGCUCUCUGGUGGCGGGUGGCGCACGGGUGAGUAAUACAUCUGAACGUGUCCUGUUGUGGGGGACAACCGGUCGAAAGACCGGCUAAUACCGCAUAAGACCUGAGGGUGAAAGCGGGGGAUCGCAAGACCUCGCGCAAUUGGAGCGGCCGAUGCCCGAUUAG
rnacentral:rRNA from 1 species